rnacentral:rRNA from 1 species
AGUGAACGCUGGCGGUAGGCCUAACACAUGCAAGUCGAACGGCAGCACAGUAAGAGCUUGCUCUUACGGGUGGCGAGUGGCGGACAGGUGAGGAAUACAUCGGUAUCUACUUUUUCGUGGGGGAUAACGUAGGGAAACUUACGCUAAUACCGCAUACGACCUACGGGUGAAAGCAGGGGAUCUUCGGACCUUGCGCGAUUGAAUGAGCCGAUGUCGGAUUAGCUAGUUGGCGGGGUAAAGGCCCACCAAGGCGACGAUCCGUAGCUGGUCUGAGAGGAUGAUCAGCCACACUGGAACUGAGACACGGUCCAGACUCCUACGGGAGGCAGCAGUGGGGAAUAUUGGACAAUGGGCGCAAGCCUGAUCCAGCCAUACCGCGUGGGUGAAGAAGGCCUUCGGGUUGUAAAGCCCUUUUGUUGGGAAAGAAAAGCAGCAGGUUAAUACCCCGCUGUUCUGACGGUACCCAAAGAAUAAGCACCGGCUAACUUCGUG